UACAGAGGGUGCGAGCGUUGUUCGGAAUUAUUGGGCGUAAAGGGCGCGUAGGCGGUGCGGUAAGUCACCUGUGAAAUCUCCUGGCUCAACUGGGAGCUUGCAGGCGAAACUGCCGUGCUGGAGUGUGGGAGAGGUGCGUGGAAUUCCUGGUGUAGCGGUGAAAUUCGUAGAUAUCGGGAGGAACACCGGUGGCGAAGGCGGCGAUCUGGGUCGAUACUGACGCUGAGGUGCGAAAGCGUGGGGAGCAAACAGG
rnacentral:rRNA from 1 species